UAAGGCUGGGUGUAAGAAGUCUUUAGUGCUAAUGUUAAGGCUGGGUGUUAGCCCUUUAUAUGUUUUUAGUGCUAAUGUUAAAGGGAACGUAGGGUCAAAAAUAAAAUUUUGAUAUGUGAAAACUGGUACCAUGCAGACAACAAAAUCUAGCAUAGAAAAAAUAAUUGCUGCUGAUAACAAGAUUUAAUCUGUCAUUUACACUGAAAACUGAGCUGAAUGGGAGAAUCUGUUAUCAUGGCGGCUGAUGACGUGUAUGCGGCAAUUCAUUACAACUGCUGUGCCUAUAGCACUAAAUGGGUUACAGAGUAUCUAUAAUCUAAAUAUCGGGAGUUAAAGCGAAAUUUUGCACUGUGGUCAAAGAAAAAGGAAUACAUGUAUCUACCUUUUAGCAUCCCUGAUCUCCCCCCAAAACUAUGAACAUUGUGCAAUAAUUGGAUACAUAACCUUGGAAGUGAAUCUUUUGUUUUUGAACGGCAUUUUGAGAAAGAGUCUUUUGAAGAGGAUAUCAGGGUAAGUACCAGUUAUAUUUGCUUUUUACUCAGUAAAUACUAAUAAUUCUUAAUGUGUAUAACCAGAGUUUAUACAUGUAAUACUUUCAAAAAUCAUCACAGCACUAGCACAUUUUGUAUUAUACUAUUGUUUUUAAAGAAAUUGAAAAUGUACAAGUAAACAAAUGAAGUAUAGUACAUAUGAAGUAUAGUAUAUAUGAAGUAAGUAUAUAUAAUUAAUUAGUCAUUAUUUUUCAGCUAAUCCAUUUUCUUUUGGAAACCAAUGAAAACUCAUAUGCAGAACCUAUUGACCAACCUGGACUAUCAGCAUCUAAGGAAACAGCUCAAUGAAGACAUGAAUAGUGACAAAAAUAUCCCACUCUCAAUCCAUAUUGAAGAAUAAAUCAACUUUGUGCAACAUAUACAGAUAGAAUUGCCCAGUCAUUGUCCAUCAUAUGUGCUAAGGAAUGUUCAAGUGAAGAAUGAAGAAGUGAAGAUAAUGAACAAUCCUGUAUAAAGAAUACAAAAUUAAAAGUUUAAGAAUUAA